GACGAACGCUGGCGGCGUGCCUAAUACAUGCAAGUCGAACGCAGUGGGGACGGGUGAGUAACACGUGGGUAACCUCCCAUCAGAGGGGAUAACACUUGGAAACCGGUGCUAAACCGAUACUGAUGGAUGGACCCGCGGUGCAUUAGCUAGUUGGGGAGGUAACGGCCCACCAAGGCCACGAUGCAUAGCCGAGCUGAGAGGUUGAUCGGCCACACUGGGACUGAGCCACGGCCCAGACUCCUACGGGAGGCAGCAGUAGGGAAUCUUCGGCAAUGGAGGAAAGUCUGACCGAGCAACGCCGCGUGAGGGAAGAAGGUUUUCGGAUCGUAAAACUCUGUUGUUAGAGAAGCGGUAUCUAAACAGAAAGCCACGGCUAACUACGUGCCAGCAGCCGCGGUAAUUC
rnacentral:rRNA from 1 species